ACUUUCUUGCUUUCAUUCACAAGUGUAGUUCAGGGCUUCUUCUUGUUAAUGUAUACAUAUUUAUAGGACAUAUGAAGCUAUGCCUGAUUAGCCCUGGGCACUUGCAGGGCCUGGUUCAGAACGGUAAACAACAGGAGGCAGGGGACCUAAAUCCUCAAGAACGCCAACACCCUUCUAUCUAGAGGGAAAAAUAAGCAACCUCUGUAUACUACUAAAAAGACAUUAACUUAUUAUUUAAAAUCUAUUAUUUGAUCUAUAAAAAUGGUGCAAAAAUUAAAUCUUUAUCCUAAAGUAGGAUAUAUUAAAAUAUUUCUUUCUUUCGUUUUUUUUUUUUUUUUUUGCUUGAGACUGAGUUUCAUUCACUCUUGUUGCCCAGGCUGGAGUACAGUGGUGCUAUCUUGGCUCACUGCAACCUCUGCCUCCCGGGUCAAGCAAUUCUCCUGCCUCAGCCUCCCAAGUAGCUGGGAUUACAAGUGUGUGCCACCAUGCCUAGCUAAUUUUUGUAUUUUUUUUUAAUUUUUUAUUGCAUUUUAGGUUUUGGGGUACAUGUGCAGAACAUGCAAGACAGUUGCAUAGGUACACACAUGGCAGUGUGUUUUGCUUCCUUUCUCCCCAUCACCCACUUUGGCAUUUCUCCCCAGGCUAUCCCUCCCCAGCUCCCUCCCCACUGGCCCUCCCCUUUUCCCCCUAAUAGACCCUAGUGUUUAGUACUCCCCUCCCUGGGUCCAUGUGUUCUCAUUUUUCAUCACCUGCCUAUGAGUGAGAAUAUGCGGUAUUUCAUUUUCUUUUCUUGUGUCAGUUUGCUGAGAAUGAUGUUCUCCAGAUUCAUCCAUGUCCCUACAAACGACAUAAACUCAUCAUUUCUGAUUGCUGCAUAAUAUUCCAUGGUGUAUAUGUGCCACAUCUUCCCAAUCCAGUCUAUCAUCAAUGGGCAUUUGGGUUGUUUCCAGGUCUUUGCUAUUGUAAACAGUGCUGCAAUGAACAUUCAUGUGCAUGUGUCCUUAUAGUAGAACGAUUUAUAGUCCUUUGGAUAUAUACCCAGUAAUGGGAUUGCUGGGUCAAAUGGAAUUUCUAUUUCUAAGGCCUUGAGGAAUCGCCACACUGUCUUCCACAAUGGUUGAACUAAUUUACACUCCCACCAACAGUGCAAAAGUGUUCCUUUUUCUCCACAUCCUCUCCAGCAUCUGUUGUCUCCAGAUUUUUUAAUGAUCCCCAUUCUACCUGGCGUGAGAUGGUAUCUCAAUGUGGUUUUGAUUUGCAUCUCUCUGAUGACCAGUGAUGAUGAGCAUUUUUUCAUAUGAUUGUUGGCCUCAUAUAUGUAUUCUUUCAUAAAGUGUCUGUUCAUAUCCUUUGCCCAUUUUUGAAUGGGCUUGUUUGUUUUUUUCCUGUAAAUCUGUUUGAGUUCUUUGUAAAUUCUGGAUAUCAGCCCUUUGUCAGAUGGGGAAACUGCAAAAAUUUUUUCCCAUUCUGUUGGUUGCCGAUUCACUCUAGUGACUGUUUCUUUUGCUGUGCAGAAGCUGUGGAGUUUGAUUAGGUCCCAUUUGUCUAUUUUGGCUUUUGUUGCCAAUGCUUUUGGUGUUUUGAUCAUGAAGUCCUUGCCUACUCCUAUGUCCUGGAUGGUUUUGCCUAGAUUUCCUUCUAGGGUUUUUAUCAUGCCAGGUCUUAUGUUUAAGUCUUUAAUCCAUCUGGAGUUAAUUUUAGUGUAAGGUGUCAGGAAGGGGUCCAGUUCCUGCUUUCUGCACAUGGCUAGCCAGUUUUCCCAACACCAUUUGUUAAACAGGGAAUCCUGUCCCCAUUGCUUGUUUUUGUCAGGUUUGUCAAAGAUUGUAUGGUUGUAGAUAUUAUUGUGUUGCCGCCGAUGCCUCUGUUUUGUUCCAUUGGUCUAUAUCUCUGUUUUGGUACCAGUACCAUGCUGUUUUGAAUACUGUAGCCUUGUAGUAUAGUUUGAAAUCCGGUAGUGUGAUGCCCACCGCUGUGUUCUUUUUGCUUAGAAUUGACUUGGCUAUGCGGGCUCUCGUUUGGUUCCAUAUGAAGUUCAUGGUGGUUUUCUCCAGUUCUGUGAAGAAAGUCAAUGGUAGCUUGAUGGGGAUAGCAUUGAUUCUGUAAAUUACUUUGGGCAGUAUAGCCAUUUUCACGAUAUUAAUUCUUCCUAACCAUGAACACGGAAUGUUUCUCCAUCUGUUUGUGUCCUCUCUUAUUUCGUUGAGCAGUGGUUUGUAGUUUUCCUUGAAGAGGUCACUUACGUUCCUUGUGAGUUGUAUUCCUAGGUAUUUUAUUCUUUUUGUAGCAAUUGUGAAUGGCAGUUCGUUCUUAAUUUGGCUCUCUUUAAGUCUGUUACUGGUGCAUAGGAAGGCUUGUAAUUUUUGCACAUUGAUUUUAUAUCCUGAGACUUUGCUGAAGUUGCUUAUCAGUUUCAGGAGUUUUUGGGCUGAGGCGAUGGGGUCUUCUAGGUAUACUAUCAUGUCGUCUGCAAAUAGAGACAAUUUGGCUUCUUCCUUUCCUAUUUGAAUGCCCUUUAUUUCUUUUUCUUGCCUGAUUGCUCUGGCUAGAACUUCCAGUACUAUAUUGAAUAGGAGUGGUGAAAGAGGGCAUCCUUGUCUAGUGCCGGAUUUCAAAGGGAAUGCUUCCAGUUUUUGCCCAUUCAGUAUGAUAUUGGCUAUUGGUUUGUCGUAAAUAGCUUUUAUUACUUUUAGAUACAUUCCAUCGAUACCAAGUUUAUUGAGGGUUUUUAGCAUAAAGGGCUGUUGAAUGUUGUCGAAUGCCUUUUCUGCGUCAAUUGAGAUAAUCAUGUGGUUUUUGUUUUUGGUUCUGUUUAUGUGGUGAAUUACAUUUAUAGACUUGUGUAUGUUGAACCAGCCUUGCAUCCCUGGGAUGAAUCCUACUUGAUCAUGAUAGAUAAGUUUUUUGAUUUGCUGUUGCAAUCAGCUUGCCAAAAUUUUAUUGAAGAUUUUUGCAUCUAUGUUCAUCAUGGAUAUUGGCCUGAAGUUUUCUUUUCUUGUUGGGUCUCUGCUGGGUUUUAAUUUUUGUAUUUUUAUUAGAGAUAAGGUUUAACCACAUUGGACAGGCUCAUCUCAAACUCCUGACCUCAA
rnacentral:lncRNA from 1 species